CCUACGGGGGGCGGCAGUGGGGAAUAUUGGACAAUGGGGGGAACCCUGAUCCAGCCAUGCCGCGUGUGUGAAGAAGGCCCUCGGGUUGUAAAGCACUUUCAGUGAGGAAGAACGCCUGGUGGUUAAUACCCAUCAGGAAAGACAUCACUCACAGAAGAAGCACCGGCUAACUCCGUGCCAGCAGCCGCGGUAAUACGGAGGGUGCGAGCGUUAAUCGGAAUUACUGGGCGUAAAGCGCGCGUAGGUGGCUUGAUAAGCCGGUUGUGAAAGCCCCGGGCUCAACCUGGGAACGGCAUCCGGAACUGUCAAGCUAGAGUGCAGGAGAGGAAGGUAGAAUUCCCGGUGUAGCGGUGAAAUGCGUAGAGAUCGGGAGGAAUACCAGUGGCGAAGGCGGCCUUGUGGACUGACACUGACACUGAGGUGCGAAAGCGUGGGUAGCAAACAGGAUUAGAUACCCCAGUAGUC
rnacentral:rRNA from 1 species